UAGGGAAUCUUCGGCAAUGGGGGCAACCCUGACCGAGCAACGCCGCGUGAGUGAAGAAGGUUUUCGGAUCGUAAAGCUCUGUUGUAAGUCAAGAACGAGUGUGAGAGUGGAAAGUUCACACUGUGACGGUAGCUUACCAGAAAGGGACGGCUAACUACGUGCCAGCAGCCGCGGUAAUACGUAGGUCCCGAGCGUUGUCCGGAUUUAUUGGGCGUAAAGCGAGCGCAGGCGGUUUGAUAAGUCUGAAGUUAAAGGCUGUGGCUCAACCAUAGUUCGCUUUGGAAACUGUCAAACUUGAGUGCAGAAGGGGAGAGUGGAAUUCCAUGCGUAGCGGUGAAAUGCGUAGAUAUAUGGAGGAACACCGGUGGCGAAAGCGGCUCUCUGGUCUGUAACUGACGCUGAGGCUCGAAAGCGUGGGGAGCGAACAGGAUUAGAUACCCUGGUAGUCCACGCCGUAAACGAUGAGUGCUAGGUGUUGGGUCCUUUCCGGGAUUCAGUGCCGCAGCUAACGCAUUAAGCACUCCGCCUGGGGAGUACGACCGCAAGGUUG
rnacentral:rRNA from 1 species